rnacentral:rRNA from 1 species
AGUGAACGCUGGCGGCAGGCCUAACACAUGCAAGUCGAACGAACGCACAGUAAGAUCUCGCCCCUGCGGGUGGCGAGUGACGGACGGGUAAGGCGUGCAUCGGAUACCUCUUUUACGUGGGUGAUAACGUAGAACAGGAGCUGCUACUGCAGCAUAUUUCGUACCGGAGGAUGCAAGAGUGCAAGACACUUUUGGUGUCAGUAAUAGCUGAUUUCGGGUUGGAUUAGCUAGUUGGUAAGGUAACGGCAAACCAAGGCUACGAUGCGUAGCCGACCUGAGAGGGUGAUCAGCCACACUGGAACUGAGACACGGUCCAGACUCCUACGGGAGGCAGCAGUGGGGAAUAUUGCGCAAUGGGCGAAAGCCUGAUCCAGCAGUACCGCGUGAGUGAUGAAGGCCUUCGGGUUGUAAAACUCUGUUGUUGGGAAAGAAAAGAAGUAGUUUAAACCGCGGCUAUUCUGACGGUACCCAAAGAAUAAGCCCCGGCUAACUUCGUG